UUAAGUUAUUAAGGGCGCACGGUGGAUGCCUUGGCACUAGAAGCCGAUGAAGGACGUUACUAACGACGAUAUGCUUUGGGGAGCUGUAAGUAAGCUUUGAUCCAGAGAUUUCCGAAUGGGGAAACCCAGCAUGAGUUAUGUCAUGUUAUCGAUAUGUGAAUACAUAGCAUAUCAGAAGGCACACCCGGAGAACUGAAACAUCUUAGUACCCGGAGGAAGAGAAAGAAAAUUCGAUUCCCUUAGUAGCGGCGAGCGAAACGGGAAGAGCCCAAACCAACAAGCUUGCUUGUUGGGGUUGUAGGACACUCUAUACGGAGUUACAAAGGACGACAUUAGACGAAUCAUCUGGAAAGAUGAAUCAAAGAAGGUAAUAAUCCUGUAGUCGAAAAUGUUGUCUCUCUUGAGUGGAUCCUGAGUACGACGGAGCACGUGAAAUUCCGUCGGAAUCUGGGAGGACCAUCUCCUAAGGCUAAAUACUCUCUAGUGACCGAUAGUGAACCAGUACCGUGAGGGAAAGGUGAAAAGCACCCCGGAAGGGGAGUGAAAUAGAACCUGAAACCGUGUGCUUACAAGUAGUCAGAGCCCGUUAAUGGGUGAUGGCGUGCCUUUUGUAGAAUGAACCGGCGAGUUACGAUUUGAUGCAAGGUUAAGCAGUAAAUGUGGAGCCGUAGCGAAAGCGAGUCUGAAUAGGGCGUUUAGUAUUUGGUCGUAGACCCGAAACCAGGUGAUCUACCCUUGGUCAGGUUGAAGUUCAGGUAACACUGAAUGGAGGACCGAACCGACUUACGUUGAAAAGUGAGCGGAUGAACUGAGGGUAGCGGAGAAAUUCCAAUCGAACCUGGAGAUAGCUGGUUCUCUCCGAAAUAGCUUUAGGGCUAGCCUCAAGUGAUGAUUAUUGGAGGUAGAGCACUGUUUGGACGAGGGGCCCCUCUCGGGUUACCGAAUUCAGACAAACUCCGAAUGCCAAUUAAUUUAACUUGGGAGUCAGAACAUGGGUGAUAAGGUCCGUGUUCGAAAGGGAAACAGCCCAGACCACCAGCUAAGGUCCCAAAAUAUAUGUUAAGUGGAAAAGGAUGUGGCGUUGCCCAGACAACUAGGAUGUUGGCUUAGAAGCAGCCAUCAUUUAAAGAGUGCGUAAUAGCUCACUAGUCGAGUGACACUGCGCCGAAAAUGUACCGGGGCUAAACAUAUUACCGAAGCUGUGGAUUGUCCUUUGGACAAUGGUAGGAGAGCGUUCUAAGGGCGUUGAAGCAUGAUCGUAAGGACAUGUGGAGCGCUUAGAAGUGAGAAUGCCGGUGUGAGUAGCGAAAGACGGGUGAGAAUCCCGUCCACCGAUUGACUAAGGUUUCCAGAGGAAGGCUCGUCCGCUCUGGGUUAGUCGGGUCCUAAGCUGAGGCCGACAGGCGUAGGCGAUGGAUAACAGGUUGAUAUUCCUGUACCACCUAUAAUCGUUUUAAUCGAUGGGGGGACGCAGUAGGAUAGGCGAAGCGUGCGAUUGGAUUGCACGUCUAAGCAGUAAGGCUGAGUAUUAGGCAAAUCCGGUACUCGUUAAGGCUGAGCUGUGAUGGGGAGAAGACAUUGUGUCUUCGAGUCGUUGAUUUCACACUGCCGAGAAAAGCCUCUAGAUAGAAAAUAGGUGCCCGUACCGCAAACCGACACAGGUAGUCAAGAUGAGAAUUCUAAGGUGAGCGAGCGAACUCUCGUUAAGGAACUCGGCAAAAUGACCCCGUAACUUCGGGAGAAGGGGUGCUCUUUAGGGUUAACGCCCAGAAGAGCCGCAGUGAAUAGGCCCAAGCGACUGUUUAUCAAAAACACAGGUCUCUGCUAAACCGUAAGGUGAUGUAUAGGGGCUGACGCCUGCCCGGUGCUGGAAGGUUAAGAGGAGUGGUUAGCUUCUGCGAAGCUACGAAUCGAAGCCCCAGUAAACGGCGGCCGUAACUAUAACGGUCCUAAGGUAGCGAAAUUCCUUGUCGGGUAAGUUCCGACCCGCACGAAAGGCGUAACGAUUUGGGCACUGUCUCAACGAGAGACUCGGUGAAAUCAUAGUACCUGUGAAGAUGCAGGUUACCCGCGACAGGACGGAAAGACCCCGUGGAGCUUUACUGUAGCCUGAUAUUGAAAUUCGGCACAGCUUGUACAGGAUAGGUAGGAGCCUUUGAAACGUGAGCGCUAGCUUACGUGGAGGCGCUGGUGGGAUACUACCCUAGCUGUGUUGGCUUUCUAACCCGCACCACUUAUCGUGGUGGGAGACAGUGUCAGGCGGGCAGUUUGACUGGGGCGGUCGCCUCCUAAAAGGUAACGGAGGCGCUCAAAGGUUCCCUCAGAAUGGUUGGAAAUCAUUCAUAGAGUGUAAAGGCAUAAGGGAGCUUGACUGCGAGACCUACAAGUCGAGCAGGGUCGAAAGACGGACUUAGUGAUCCGGUGGUUCCGCAUGGAAGGGCCAUCGCUCAACGGAUAAAAGCUACCCCGGGGAUAACAGGCUUAUCUCCCCCAAGAGUUCACAUCGACGGGGAGGUUUGGCACCUCGAUGUCGGCUCAUCGCAUCCUGGGGCUGUAGUCGGUCCCAAGGGUUGGGCUGUUCGCCCAUUAAAGCGGUACGCGAGCUGGGUUCAGAACGUCGUGAGACAGUUCGGUCCCUAUCCGUCGUGGGCGUAGGAAAUUUGAGAGGAGCUGUCCUUAGUACGAGAGGACCGGGAUGGACAUACCUCUGGUGUACCAGUUGUCGUGCCAACGGCAUAGCUGGGUAGCUAUGUGUGGACGGGAUAAGUGCUGAAAGCAUCUAAGCAUGAAGCCCCCCUCAAGAUGAGAUUUCCCAACUUCGGUUAUAAGAUUCCUCAAAGAUGAUGAGGUUAAUAGGUUCGAGGUGGAAGCAUGGUGACAUGUGGAGCUGACGAAUACUAAUCGAUCGAAGACUUAAUCAA
rnacentral:rRNA from 4 species